UGACUAAUCUCAGUAAUAUAUGUAUUCAACAUUUCUAUAAAGUUAGCUGUCUUUUGAUUCAGGGACCAUGUAUCCCAUAUCAAAAAUAAUCUUUAUCUUUGGCUAAUUACUAGCCCAAUAAUGUACUGUAAUGUAUUGUAGCCAAACCUACAUCUGAGGAUCUUGCUUUUUAGAGGUCUACUGGCUCUAGCAGUUAAAACCGCGAAGUACUCUAUCUAAACCUAAACAGAUUUUCAUUUACUAUAGAAUUCAAGAAACACAGCCUUGUACUUAACAUUUACAUCUGACCAUAUGUUUCACUUGCAACAUUGUUCUGGCAACCUUUCAUUGCACAAGGUCUGAGGAUGCUAGAUCUAUCAUGAUAAACCAGGUGGUAUAAAUUCUGAAUGGCCAUUGGCUGAAACCUGUGGUAUAUGUAAGCAAUGAGGCACAAGUUAGUGUUUUAUGUGGCCAAUACACCACAGUUAAGAGCUUUUCUUAGGCAUGAUUUCUCGAUGAGUUCCUAGACAGGUUUGGUAUAUUGGAAAUGUCUCUGAGAUACCUUGUUCUUAAACAGGUUACCAACGCAAUUAGAACAGUAAAAAGUGAUUUGAAGCCAUUCUUGUGGUGUACAGUCUCCUAUACCACGGCUAUCAGUAUUCAGGAUUCAUAUCCCUGGUUUAUAAGAGACUGUAUACCACUUAUAUUUCAUCACAUACUUUUUUACUUUUCUAAUUGGUCUGUUAACUGGUUCAUUAUACAUGUAGUAAUAAGGCAUCUCGGGUUGGUCAUAUAUUGAUAAUAUACAACAGCUAAGUGCUAUGUCCUGGCAUUCAGCAAGGCAGUGUGCCUUAACAGCUCUUGGCUGUUUUAUAUUGGCCAUAUACCACAGAUUUUUGUGGCUCAUUACUUAAUUAGAACAGGUGGUCACAGUAAACUAUUGCUGUGUAAUAGAAAUAUGACUCUGUAAACCCUAAUGCUAUAGGUGGUGGAAAUGUAACGGUUGUAUUGUUAUUGCUUUUAGAUUAUAUGAAAGUAUACUUCCAAAGGUUUCCAAAACUGAAUCACAAGCAAGGAUCAUUAACAUGGUGACAAAGCAUUAGAGAUUUUGUACAAUGUCUUACACUUUUGUCAAUGCAUCAACUGAGAACCAAUGAGGGAGCCCUCGUUAGUGAAUGAGAGCUACUGUGGCUGUGUGCUUGGUGAGGAUCUGGUAUGAACCUGAAGCCUACCUAACAUUGCCUUUAUGCUCAAUUGAUUAUUUUUGGUUUCUGCAAGGUGGAGGAGAGGAA
ensembl:lncRNA